rnacentral:rRNA from 1 species
CAGAACGAACGCUGGCGGCAUGGAUUAGGCAUGCAAGUCGAACGGGAGCAGCAAUGCUCCAGUGGCGCAAGGGUGAGGAACACGUGAACAACCUGCCUUCGAGUUGGGGAUAGCUUCUGGAAACGGGAGAUAAUACCGAAUAACAUCACUGGAUCGCAUGAUCUGGUGAUCAAAGCAGCAAUGCGCUUGAAGAGGGGUUCGCGUCCCAUUAGCUAGUUGGUGAGGUAACGGCCCACCAAGGCGAUGAUGGGUAGCUGGUCUGAGAGGACGACCAGCCACAUUGGGACUGAGAUACUGCCCAGACUCCUACGGGAGGCUGCAGUCGAGAAUUUUGGGCAAUGGACGAAAGUCUGAACCCCCAGCAAUGCCGCGUGCGGGAUGAAGGUCUUCGGAUUGUAAACCGCUGUCAAGAGGGACGAAACAUGACGGUACCUCUGGAGGAAGCCACGGCUAACUACGUGCCAGCCGCCGC